rnacentral:tRNA from 4 species
GCGGGUAUAAUACAGUGGUAGUAUGUUUGCUUCCCAAGCAAAAAACGUGGGUCCGAUUCCCACUAUCCGCA